rnacentral:rRNA from 1 species
AGGAUCAACGCUGGCGGCGUGCCUAACACAUGCAAGUCGAACGAGAAAGUGGGAGCAAUCCCACGAGUAAAGUGGCGCACGGGUGAGUAACACGUGACUAACCUACCCUUGAGUGGGGGAUAACCUAGGGAAACCUGGGCUAAUACCGCAUAAUACCUACGGGUCAAAGGAGCAAUUCACUUUAGGAGGGGGUCGCGGCAGAUUAGUUAGUUGGCGGGGUAAUGGCCCACCAAGACAGUGAUCUGUAUCCGGCCUGAGAGGGCGCACGGACACACUGGAACUGAAACACGGUCCAGACUCCUACGGGAGGCAGCAGUGGGGAAUUUGCGCAAUGGGGGAAACCCUGACGCAGCAACGCCGCGUGGAGGAUGAAGCCCCUUGGGGCGUAAACUCCUUUCGAUCGGGAAGAUAAUGACGGUACCGGAAGAAGAAGCCCGGCUAACUUCGUGCCAGCAGCCGC